GUGACCUCAAAUCAGGUAGGACUACCCGCUGAACUUAAGCAUAUCAAUAAGCGGAGGAAAAGAAACUAACAAGGAUUCCCCUAGUAACUGCGAGUGAAGCGGGAAAAGCUCAAAUUUAAAAUCUGUCAGUCUUUGGCUGUCCGAGUUGUAAUCUAGAGAAGUGUUAUCCGCGCUGGACCGUGUACAAGUCUCCUGGAAUGGAGCGUCAUAGAGGGUGAGAAUCCCGUCUUUGACACGGACUGCCAGGGCUUUGUGAUACGCUCUCAAAGAGUCGAGUUGUUUGGGAAUGCAGCUCAAAAUGGGUGGUAAAUUCCAUCUAAAGCUAAAUAUUGGCGAGAGACCGAUAGCGAACAAGUACCGUGAGGGAAAGAUGAAAAGAACUUUGGAAAGAGAGUUAAACAGUACGUGAAAUUGCUGAAAGGGAAACGCUUGAAGUCAGUCGCGUUGUCCAGGGAUCAGCCUUGCUUUUGCUUGGUGUACUUUCUGGUUGACGGGUCAGCAUCAAUUUUGACUGUUGGAAAAAGGUCGGGGGAAUGUGGCAUCUUCGGAUGUGUUAUAGCCCUUGGUUGCAUACAAUGGUUGGGAUUGAGGAACUCAGCACGCCGCAAGGCCGGGUAACUAUUACCACGUACGUGCUAGGAUG
rnacentral:rRNA from 1 species